rnacentral:rRNA from 1 species
GUCUACGGCCAUGCCACCCUGAACAAGCCCGAUCCCAUCUGAUCUCGGAAGCAGAAAAGGGUUGGGUCUGGUUAGUUCUUGGAUGGGAGACUAGGAAGACCAGGUACAUAGGCA